AAGUCGUAACAAGGUUUCCGUAGGUGAACCUGCGGAAGGAUCAUUACUGAGUUAGGGUCUUUGAGGCCCGACCUCCAACCCUUGUGUUUAACUUACCAUGUUGCUUCGGCGGGCCCGUUUCCCUUAGGAAACCGCCGGAGGGUUGUUUCAUGCCCUCUGGUCCGCUGCCCGCCGGUGGCCAACCUUCAAAACAUUUAUUCAAUUGUCAUUGUCUGAGUCUCCAUGAUUUUAAUAAAUCAAAAGCAAAACUUUCAACAACGGAUCUCUUGGUUCUGGCAUCGAUGAAGAACGCAGCGAAAUGCGAUAAGUAAUGCGAAUUGCAGAAUUUCCGUGAGUCAUCGAAUCUUUGAACGCACAUUGCGCCCUUUGGUAUUCCGAAGGGCAUGCCUGUUCGAGCGUCAUUAACACCCCUCAAGCAUCGGCUUGUCGUUGGAUCAGGCCUGGGUAACACCAGGCCGGUCCCAAAAGUAAUGACGGCGUCCGGGGGACCCUCAGUGCAACGAGCUUUUCUUGAAGCACGCAUUGAGUUGCAAGGUCCCGUCUGGCACGGUCUCACCUUCUAUUUUAUAUCAAGGUUGACCUCGGAUCAGGUAGGAAUACCCGCUGAACUUAA
rnacentral:rRNA from 1 species